CCUACGGGAGGCAGCAGUAAGGAAUUGUUCGCAAUGGGCGCAAGCCUGAYGACGCAACGCCGCGUGGAGGACGAAGAUCUUCGGGUUGUAAACUCCUGUCGAGCGGGAAGAACAGCAUGCGGGUUAAUACCCCACACCCYUGACGGUACCGCUGGAGGAAGCCCCGGCUAACUCCGUGCCAGCAGCCGCGGUAAUACGGGGGGGGCAAGCGUUGUUCGGAAUUACUGGGCGUAAAGGGCUCGUAGGCGGCCACCCAAGUCUGUYGUGAAAUCCCUCGGCUCAACCGGGGAACUGCGUCSGAUACUGGGUGGCUUGAAGCCGGGAGAGGGAUGCGGAAUUCCCGGUGUAGCGGUGAAAUGCGUAGAUAUCKGGAGGAACACCCGUGGCGAAGGCGGCWUCCUGGACCGGUCUUGACGCUGAGGAGCGAAAGCCAGGGUAGCAAACGGGAUUAGAUACCCCGGUAGUCCUGGCCSUAAACGAUGAAYGCUUGGUGUGGCGGGUAUCGAUCCCUGCCGUGCCGGAGCUAACGCAUAAGCAUUCCGCCUG
rnacentral:rRNA from 1 species